GUUAGGGUUAGGGUUAGGGUUGGAGCUAGGGUUAGGGUUAGGGUUAGGGUUGGAGUUAGGGUUAGUGUUGGAGCUAGGGUUAGGGUUGGGCUUGGAGCUAGGAUUUUUCUGAGUGCAAUGAACCAACUCCCGAGUCUCUAGGACGUUCCUAAAAAAAUUAGAUUUUUUCCCAUAGGAAUGCAUGGGUUAGGGUUAGGGUUAGGGUUAGGGUUGGAGCUAGGGUUAGGGUUAGGGUUAGGGUUGGAGUUAGGGUUAGUGUUGGAGCUAGGAUUAGGGUUGGGCUUGGAGCUAGGAUUUUUCUGAGUGCAAUGAACCAACUCCCGAGUCUCUAGGACGUUCCUAAAAAUUUUUUAUUUUUUCCCAUAGGAAUGCAUGGGUUAGGGUUAGGGUUAGGGUUAGGGUUGGAGCUAGGGUUAGGGUUAGGGUUAGGGUUGGAGUUAGGGUUAGUGUUGGAGCUAGGGUUAGGGUUGGGGUUAGGGUUGGAGUUAGGGUUAGUGUUGGAGCUAGGGUUAGGGUUGGGCUUGGAGCUAGGAUUUUUCUGAGUGCACUGAACCAACUCCCGAGUCUCUAGGACGUUCCUAAAAAAAUUUGAUUUUUUCCCAUAGGAAUGCAUGGGUUAGGGUUAGGGUUAGGGUUAGGGUUGGAGCUAGGGUUAGGGUUAGGGUUAGGGUUGGAGUUAGGGUUAGUGUUGGAGCUAGGGUUAGGGUUGGGCUUGGAGCUAGGAUUUUUCUGAGUGCAAUGAACCAACUCCCGAGUCUCUAGGACGUUCCUAAAAAAAUUGAUUUUUUCCCAUAGUAAUGCAUGGGUUAGGGUUAGGGUUAGGGUUGGAGCUAGGGUUAGGGUUAGGGUUAGGGUUGGAGUUAGGGUUAGUGUUGGAGCUAGGGUUAGGGUUGGGCUUGGAGCUAGGAUUUUUCUGAGUGCAAUGAACCAACUCCCGAGUCUCUAGGACGUUCCUAAAAAAAUUUGAUUUUUUCCCAUAGGAAUGCAUGGGUUAGGGUUAGGGUUAGGGUUGGAGCUAGGGUUAGGGUUAGGGUUGGAAUUAGGGUUAGUGUUGGAGCUAGGGUUAGGGUUGGGCUUGGAGCUAGGAUUUUUCUGAGUGCAAUGAACCAACUCCCGAGUCUCUAGGACGUUCCUAAAAAAAUUUGAUUUUUUCCCAUAGGAAUGCAUGGGUUAGGGUUAGGGUUAGGGUUGGAGCUAGGGUUAGGGUUAGGGUUAGGGUUGGAGUUAGGGUUAGUGUUGGAGCUAGGGUUAGGGUUGGGCUUGGAGCUAGGAUUUUUCUG